GCAGAUGCUUGAAGCCUUCUUUGGUGUUGGUUGUGCCUCCAUCAUUGUCCUGACAUGAAUAUACUAGAAGCAUUUUAAUCUGUGCUGUGAGGGGAGGUACUGGUGUGGUGUGAAUCCACUGUGGACCCUAUGUGCUUCUGAGAUGUCCAUCUACCUGAGCCAACAUUACACACCUCCCCAAAAUCUUUUCUGCAAGGGACAGGUUCCAUAGCAUCAGUCCACACAGCUUACUAAACAGCCAAGAGCCUCCUUUAGCAGCCAUAGCAGCAGAUUAUUCUGUUUCCUUUUCUCCCAGAUUGCAGAGAACACACCUAUCUCCCUCUGCUUUUGAUGGCUUUGGAAAACGUUACUUCUGUGUUCCUGGGAAAGAGCUUCAGAGCACUUCUAUUUUCUGCCUCACAGGGAAGAAGAAACUGUGAAACUAUCAGCAUCCUCUGGCUGUAUGUUCCCUGGAGCUGUUAUACUGUGCAGUCUGAAAUAGACAUCCGGCCCCAGGGAAUUGCUAAUGGUGCAUUCAGUCUCAGCAUGGCACAUGCUCAUUCCUGGGGAGUUACUGAGUUAGCAUUUAUAGUUCUAAUCUUUUCUUCUGAGUAGAUGAAACCCUCUGAUUUUGCCUAAGCACUGAGGUCUUGGGUGUUGGAUUCUCUUCUUAUGACAGCUUACUUGGAAUGUCACCAGAAAGCUUUCAGCCUGGAUCCUUGCUCUGAAAAUCAUAGACUACAGUAGCAUCAUGCCAGAGAUUCUUCCAUAACUUGGUGUCUGAUCAGCAGGCAACAAGAAACUGAGGUCUUGCUAGACACAGUUGCAGAAUAAUAAACCCAAUAUUUCUGUGCUGGAGAUGGGAGAUUUGUACUGGGGACGCUGAAAGCCUUUUGGACCUGGGGGAAUAAGCUCACAAAUAGAAAGCAGAGUCAGCAUCCACUAAGGAAAGCACAAGUGGAAAAACCGUGGGGAGUGAGUACUGCUGGAUGUUUUGAUUAUGGUCCUUAGUGUGGGUCCCUGCUGCAGAGAAACAGCAGUGGUAAAGGAUGAAGUGAAUUCACUCAAGGUUUACCUUGUUCUCUGGUUGCUUUGUCAAUUUAUGUUUCUCCAGCCACUUUUUGCAAUGAGGGAUUUUUUUUGUGUGGGCAAGGGUUGAACUAACAGGAACACUUUUACUAUAUUUCACAUUAACUUGCUGGUGAAGACAAGACCUCUCUUGCAUGACCUACAUGCCUGAACUCAGAAUCCCUCUCCUGGGCCUGCCAUCUUCAGAUUUAAAUCCUUUAAACAAGCUCAAGUUUUCAUCUCCUCAUCCAUAUUUCCAAAGCUUGUAAGCCUCAAGGCACUAGGCCAACAACGGAAUAGUGCUGAGCACAAAGAUGUUUUUGUAACCACAUCAACUCAGCCCAAGGCAGAUCAACUGCAGCAAACCCUGCAGAUUGCUUCACCUCCUGGUGUAGUUCCGUUAGAACCUCCCAUUUCUGCCAGUCUUCAGCUGAUAGCAAAAAUGCCUCUUUCAGCUUUGUAACUCCUAUUUUAUCCAUUUUCAGCGAAAUGCUGUUGAGAGUUGCCAGAGACUCAGCUGUGACACAGAUCUAUCUGAAAUCAGAGGUUUGGAAGUGUUCCUUCACGCUUGUCGUCUCCUUCAAUAAGCACUGCCUUGUACCAAGUCUGUACAUUCUUUACUGCUCUAUUUGUUGCUAUGGCCUGUGGUGCCAAGUUUCAGUGAGAUUCUUUUGGAAGACUAUUCUGGAUUUUCCUUCCUUCUGUUUUGUUUAUGCUCCUGGCCACUGCAGUGUUCUCCCUUACCAUCAUCCAAAACUUCAUCCUAAGCAGGAAGGCACUGCCCUCUCCAGUCCCUCCACUUGUACACCCAGCAGCAGUCCCUCCUUGGCUUGAAUCAUUGCAGCAGAGAAGCAAUGUAUGGACUCCCCCUCUAGCCAGGUGUUUGUAAAAUCGGGGAGAAGCAGGAAGGAACAGAUGGGACUGGCCUUGAGCAGAGAAAAGGGAGCUUUUUGGCAGGGGAGCUACAAAGGCACAGUGUUGUCAGUCCGUGUCAAACUUGGGAAAGGCACUCACAGAAGGGAGAGCAGCAGGAUGUGCUGCCUCAUUGCCAUGGAGACAACCAAAGAGCUGGCUGGGCAGAUUUAGAAACGUGUCCUGCUUGGGACAACUUUUGGUACAUGUCAUCUAUUUUUGCAGAGAUCAAAACAAGGUGGAAAAGAGGAAAUGUCUGACACUGAGAGUAAAAACCUCUUUUCUUUCCUAGUUUACAGCAGAGUCAAUCUUUUGUGGUUUAACGGAGAUAAUUGUUCUCCUCUAAGAAACAUAUCCAGGUUUUGAUGGGGAUUACUUUUCCCCCCGUCCUUAUACUUUUUUCAUCAAUCACUUUUGGCAUUAUGAUUCUAGCUGCCAUUUCAAUGCUCUUGGACUUCUCCAUGGUGUUCCCCAUGU
rnacentral:lncRNA from 1 species